rnacentral:rRNA from 1 species
GAUGAACGCUGGCGGCGUGCCUAAUACAUGCAAGUCGAGCGAACAGACGAGGAUCUUGCUCCUCUGACGUUAGCGGCGGACGGGUGAGUAACACGUGGAUAACCUACCUAUAAGACUGGGAUAACUUCGGGAAACCGGAGCUAAUACCGGAUAACAUGUUGAACCGCAUGGUUCAACAGUGAAAGACGGUCUUGCUGUCACUUAUAGAUGGAUCCGCGUCGCAUUAGCUAGUUGGUAAGGUAACGGCUUACCAAGGCAACGAUGCGUAGCCGACCUGAGAGGGUGAUCGGCCACACUGGAACUGAGACACGGUCCAGACUCCUACGGGAGGCAGCAGUAGGGAAUCUUCCGCAAUGGGCGAAAGCCUGACGGAGCAACGCCGCGUGAGUGAAGAAGGUCUUCGGAUCGUAAAACUCUGUUAGUAGGGAAGAACAAAUGUGUAAGUAACUAUGCACGUCUUGACGGUACCUAAUCAGAAAGCCACGGCUAACUACGUG